UCCGGUUUGUCACCGGCGGUCCCCUUAGAGUGCCCAACUAAAUGAUGGCAACUAAGGGCAAGGGUUGCGCUCGUUGCGGGACUUAACCCAACAUCUCACGACACGAGCUGACGACAGCCAUGCAGCACCUGUCUUAUGGUUCCCGAAGGCACAACCGCAUCUCUGCAGUCUUCCAUAGAUGUCAAGACCAGGUAAGGUUCUUCGCGUUGCAUCGAAUUAAACCACAUACUCCGCUGCUUGUGCGGGCCCCCGCCUAUUCCUUUGAGUUUUAACCUUGCGGCCGUAGUCCCCAGGCGGUGAACUUAAUGCGUUAGCUGCGGCACUGAUCGGGUCAAUCCGACCAACACCUAGUUCACAACGUUUAGGGCGUGGACUAC
rnacentral:misc_RNA from 1 species